rnacentral:snRNA from 1 species
UGAGGGCAAUCUGGCUGUGACAUCUCUCACCCCAUUGAUUGCCAGGGUCGAUCCAGCUGAUCUGGCCAGCUAGGCGCAUGUCCCCUUCCUCCCUCA